UGUAGGAGUAACAGCCAUCACAUAGUAUCUUGCUCCAUUGCUUAAGUUGGCCGUUUCCAUCUGCAAGCCCAUGAAAGCUUCUGGAAGUUCAGUUAAUUGAAAGAGGAAUUUUACAUACUUCUCCCUUUUAUCCUUCUCAUCAACUGCAAUCUCAUGAAGUUGGCCAUUGUCUGUUCCCACAAUAACUUCUUUCGUAGAAGCCUCAGUGAUCUGCUGUCUAUUCCAAGCGACAGCAUUAACAACAAGACCUUUCAAUUUACUAAGAAC
rnacentral:misc_RNA from 1 species